rnacentral:rRNA from 1 species
AUGGAUCAUCGAGAACACGUGUUAAGAGAACUAAUCCAAGGAAAUGAUAGAUCAAAAUGGAUUGCACACAGCAAUCAUGAUGUAAAAUGCUUCACAGAAAAUGAGAUAAAAAGAAUUACCAACAACUACAAUACUGAACUUGGGAGAGGGGCCUUUGGAGUAGUUUACGAAGGAGUUCUUGAGGACAGAAGUAUGGUUGCAGUCAAGAGGUUUAUCCACAAUCGAAAAGAAAACUUUGCCAAAGAGUUGACUGUUCAUCGUGAAAUCAACCACAAGAAUGUAGUCAGACUGAUCGGCUACUGUGUAGACGAAAAUGCCCUAAUGAUGGUCACAGAGUAUAUUCCUAAAGGAAACCUCAGUGAUGCCCUUCACCACAACAGGAUACCCAUCACUUUGGAAACACGACUAAGAAUUGCCAUAGAGUGUGCAGAGGCAUUGGGAAAUGCCCUAAUGUAUACCCAGGUAAUUCAUGGUGAUAUCAAGCCUGCUAAUAUACUUUUGGAUGACAAGCUCAGAGCAAAACUAUCAGAUUUUGGAAUAUCAAGACUAGUCAACACUGAUAACACUCUGUACACUGAAAAUGUGAUAGGGAGUGUAGGUUACAUGGACCCUUUGUUUGCUCUGAGUGGCCGGCUCACGGCAAAGAGCGAUGUUUAUAGUUUUGGGGUUGUCCUCUUGGAACUGAUCACGAGAAAAAAGGCAAGAACAGAUAAUGUGGGAAUCAGCCUAGUUGAAACUUUUACUCAAGCUCUCGCAAAAGGGACCAGAGGAGUGAAAGAGAUGUUUGAUCCUGAAAUUGCAAACCGAAUUGACAUGAAGACCAUCGAAGAGAUUGGAAAGCUAGCAGGUGAAUGUUUGGCUAUGGAAACCGACAAGCGCCCUGAUAUGUUAUCGGUGGCAAUGCGUCUUCACAAACUCGCGGAAACUCCACACCAGGGACAACAAUGGUUGUCUCCGUUCUCUUGGGGAAGGAAACACAAACCAAGCAGUGGCGAAAUGAUUGUGGGCUUUGGCUCCAAAGAGACAGCUCUUAAGCUGGAGCUGAAGGACCUUCUUGAAGCAGUUCCUGAAAUUCUGGGCACAGGCACAGUCGGGACAACCUACAGGGCCAAAUUUGAGAGUGGAGCCGAGCUGGUGGUCAAGAGGCUCAAGGGCGUGCACUUGCGGAGGGCGCAGUUUGAGCAGCGCGUCACGGCGAUUGGCGACAUCCAGAAUGAGCACAUGACGCCGCUGCGGGGUUAUUACUAUAGCAGUGAUGACAAGCUGCUAUUGUAUGAUAACAUGCCCAUGGGCAGCCUAUCAGAAGCGCUCCACGGAGAGCGGGGUUCUGGCCAGGCUCUGCUGGGCUGGGAGCAGCGACUGGCCAUCUCCUAUGCUGCGGCGCAGGGUGUUGCGUCUAUCCACUCAGCCGGGCCAUCGAGCUGCCAUGGUAAUAUCAAAUCCUCCAACGUUCUGUUCACCAACACUUACGAUGCUUGCAUAUCAGAGCAUGGCCUGACAGCACUCGUCAGCCGGCCUAGCGAAUCAUCGGCCUACAGCGAUCCAGGGAUCACUGGUCGUAAAUGGUCAGUCUCCCAGAAGGCCGACGUGUACAGCUUCGGCAUUCUGUUGUUAGAGCUGCUCACCGGCAGGUUUCCAGGACCAGGCCGAGGGGUUUCUAAUUUGAUGAGGUGGGUGUCUAGUGUGAUUCGUGAGGAAUGA